UACGAAGGGGGCUAGCGUUGUUCGGAAUCACUGGGCGUAAAGGGCGCGUAGGCGGCUUUAUAAGUCGGGGGUGAAAGCCUGUGGCUCAACCACAGAAUUGCCUUCGAUACUGUAGAGCUUGAGACCGGGAAGAGGUAAGUGGAACUGCGAGUGUAGAGGUGAAAUUCGUAGAUAUUCGCAAGAACACCAGUCGGCGAAGGCGGCUUACUGGUCC
rnacentral:rRNA from 1 species